rnacentral:lncRNA from 1 species
UCAUCAAAUGUUUUACAUAAAAUCCAUAAAAAUAGUUUGCAUCUCAUACAUCUUUUUUAUAACUUUAAAAUCAUUUUAGCAUUUAUUAAUAUUUUGUAAAAAAAAAUAUUUUUAUUUAAAAUUUUCAUUUAUUUUUAAAUAUUUUUGCAUCCAACUUUUGAGGUUAAAUUAUUCAUAUUUUUCUUGACCUCCCAUAAUUUUCUCCACCAUUUCUUUUAUGUUUU